AGUGGCGGACGGGUGAGGAAUACGUGGGAAUCUGCCCAGUCGUGGGGGAUAACGUAGGGAAACUUACGCUAAUACCGCAUGCGCCCUUCGGGGGAAAGCCGGGGACCUUCGGGCCUGGCGCGAUUGGAUGAGCCCACGUCGGAUUAGCUAGUUGGCGGGGUAAAGGCCCACCAAGGCGACGAUCCGUAGCUGGUCUGAGAGGAUGAUCAGCCACACUGGAACUGAGACACGGUCCAGACUCCUACGGGAGGCAGCAGUAGGGAAUAUUGGACAAUGGGCGCAAGCCUGAUCCAGCCAUGCCGCGUGAGUGAAGAAGGCCCUCGGGUUGUAAAGCUCUUUUGUCCGGAAAGAAAAGCACCCGGUUAAUACCUGGGUGUCCUGACGGUACCGGAAGAAUAAGCACCGGCUAACUUCGUGCCAGCAGCCGCGGUAAUACGAAGGGUGCAAGCGUUACUCGGAAUUACUGGGCGUAAAGCGUGCGUAGGUGGUUCGUUAAGUCUGAUGUGAAAGCCCUGGGCUCAACCUGGGAAUGGCAUUGGAUACUGGCGGGCUAGAGUGCGGUAGAGGGCAGUGGAAUUCCCGGUGUAGCAGUGAAAUGCGUAGAGAUCGGGAGGAACAUCUGUGGCGAAGGCGACUGCCUGGACCAGCACUGACACUGAGGCACGAAAGCGUGGGGAGCAAACAGGAUUAGAUACCCUGUAGUCCACGCCCU
rnacentral:rRNA from 1 species